AUUGAACGCUGGCGGCAGGCCUAACACAUGCAAGUCGAACGGUAACAGGAAGCAGCUUGCUGCUUGCUGACGAGUGGCGGACGGGUGAGUAAUGUCUGGGAAACUGCCUGAUGGAGGGGGAUAACUACUGGAAACGGUAGCUAAUACCGCAUAACGUCGCAAGACCAAAGAGGGGGACCUUCGGGCCUCUUGCCAUCAGAUGUGCCCAGAUGGGAUUAGCUUGUUGGUGGGGUAACGGCUCACCAAGGCGACGAUCCCUAGCUGGUCUGAGAGGAUGACCAGCCACACUGGAACUGAGACACGGUCCAGACUCCUACGGGAGGCAGCAGUGGGGAAUAUUGCACAAUGGGCGCAAGCCUGAUGCAGCCAUGCCGCGUGUAAUGAAGAAGGCCUUCGGGUUGUAAAGUACUUUCAGCGGGGAGGAAGGUGUUGUGGUUAAUAACCACAGCAAUUGACGUUACCCGCAGAAGAAGCACCGGCUAACUCCGUGCCAGCAGCAGC
rnacentral:rRNA from 1 species